ACUCAUGAUGAUAUACUUGUGGAAUCUUGUUCGACUGAAAUUCUGUUGACAAAUUUUUUAACUGAUGUUA